AGGAUUCCCCUAGUAACGGCGAGUGAAGAGGGAAGAGCUCAAAUUUUGAAUCUGGCGUCUUUGGCGUCCGAAUUGUAAUCUAGAGAAGUGUUUUCCGUGACGGACCGUGCAUAAGUCUCCUGGAAUGGAGCGUCAUGGAGGGUGAGAAUCCCGUAUAUGGCACGGACUCCCGUUGCUCUGUGAUACACUCUCGACGAGUCGAGUUGUUUGGGAAUGCAGCUCUAAACGGGUGGUAAAUGCCAUCUAAAGCUAAAUAUUGGCGAGAGACCGAUAGCGAACAAGUACCGUGAGGGAAAGAUGAAAAGCACUUUGGAAAGAGAGUGAAACAGUACGUGAAAUUGUUGAAAGGGAAACGCUUGAAGUCAGUCGCGCCGUUCGGGAUUCAGCCUUGCUUUUGCUUGGUUUACUUCCCGUUGGGUGGGUCAACAUCAGUUUUGGUCGGAGGAGAAAGGCUUGGGGAAGGUGGCAGCAUUCGUGCUGUGUUAUAGCCCCUUGUUGUAUACUUCGACUGGGACUGAGGACCGCAGCACGCCUCUGGCCGGGGUUCGCCCACGUACGUGCUUAGGAUGUUGGCAUAAUGGCUUUAAGCGACCCGUCUUGAAACACGGACCA
rnacentral:rRNA from 1 species